rnacentral:rRNA from 1 species
AGAUUGAACGCUGGCGGCAUGCUUUACACAUGCAAGUCGAACGGCAGCGCGGGGCAACCUGGCGGCGAGUGGCGAACGGGUGAGUAAUAUAUCGGAACGUACCCAAGAGUGGGGGAUAACGUAGCGAAAGUUACGCUAAUACCGCAUACGAUCUAAGGAUGAAAGCAGGGGACCGCAAGGCCUUGUGCUCCUGGAGCGGCCGAUAUCUGAUUAGCUAGUUGGUAGGGUAAAGGCCUACCAAGGCUACGAUCAGUAGCUGGUCUGAGAGGAUGACCAGCCACACUGGAACUGAGACACGGUCCAGACUCCUACGGGAGCAGCAGUGGGAAUUUGGACAAGUGGGCGCAAGCCUGAUCCAGCAAUGCCGCGUGACGUGGAAGAAGGCCGUUGGGUUAGUAAGCUCUUUGUCAGGAAGAAACGGUGGUAAGGUUAACUACCGUUCCAACGUAAUAGUACGGUAACC